rnacentral:rRNA from 1 species
GACGAACGCUGGCGGCGUGCUUAACACAUGCAAGUCGAACGAAGAGCGAUGGAAGCUUGCUUCUAUCAAUCUUAGUGGCGAACGGGUGAGUAACGCGUAAUCAACCUGCCCUUCAGAGGGGGACAACAGUUGGAAACGACUGCUAAUACCGCAUACGAUCUAACCUCGGCAUCGAGGAUAGAUGAAAGGUGGCCUCUACAUGUAAGCUAUCACUGAAGGAGGGGAUUGCGUCUGAUUAGCUAGUUGGAGGGGUAACGGCCCACCAAGGCGAUGAUCAGUGGCCGGUCUGAGAGGAUGGACGGCCACAUUGGGACUGAGACACGGCCCAGACUCCUACGGGAGGCAGCAGUGGGGAAUCUUCCGCAAUGGACGAAAGUCUGACGGAGCAACGCCGCGUGAGUGAUGACGGCCUUCGGGUUGUAAAGCUCUGUUAAUCGGGACGAAAGGCCUUCUUGCGAAUAGUUAGAAGGAUUGACGGUACCGGAAUAGAAAGCCACGGCUAACUACGUG